rnacentral:rRNA from 1 species
GACGAACCGUGCGAACGUUAUUCGGAAUCACUGGGCUUAAAGCGCGUGUAGGCGGCCCGGCACGUCAUUGGCUGAAAUCCCCCGGCUCAACCGGGGAAGUGGCCGUGAUACGACCGGGCUGGAGGGGGGUAGGGGGGACGGGAACUCACGGUGGAGCGGUGAAAUGUGUUGAUAUCGGUGGGAACGCCAGUGGCGAAAGCGGCAGACUUGACCCUUCCUGACGCUGAGUGCGCGAAAGCUAGGGGAGCAAACGGG